AACACGCAUGCGCUGGAGGAAUGGUGUUUUCCUGGGCCCUUGGCGAAGUUCUCGCGGUUACAGGUGGUUAUCGCGAUACCAAAAUCUUGGGGAAAAAAAAAAAAAGAACCAAUGUAUCUAUCCCAUCCCCAAACCUAAAGCUCAAUGUAUUUAGCAACGAUGUCUGAAAAAGGGUUAUUCCUUAUGCUGCUAUCUACUCUGAUUGCUCUGGCUAUCCACGGAACAUGGUGAGAAUGUGCACAGCAAUGGAGACCAGCACACUGACAUAGACGUGAUUUGCAACCACAAUGAAAGAACCCUACAAGAGGAUGAAAAGCUCACAACACACACAAAGUGAAGGCAGUGUGAAGUGGAUCAUCAGCUAAUGGGAAAGCCACAAGCUACUUCAUUUAUUGGGAAAAGUAGGGACACAGAAGGCAAUGAACAAGACUAUGGCUAGUCCUGGACUCUAAUAAGCUGUACACACCACCCGUGCAAGCUACAGUAACUACAUAGCAUGAGAUCAUUAAAUCAGAUGACUGCUAAAACCCAUCUCAACUCUAAAUGACAUAUUAGAGUACAAGAAAUCUGACAUAUGAAGCCCAGGGAAAAAGGAACUGCUGCAACAGUGAGUGUGAAACCUACAACUGUUUGAAAAGGAACAGAAAUAAACUGGCAUCAUUACAACAGUGGGGAACCAAAUGUUUAAACUUUGGUGUCCUUGAUAUCAACCUUUCCUUACUAAUGACAAAGUCCAGCAGGGCAUGGUGGCACACACCUUUAGUCUCUGCACUUGGGAGGCAGAGGUAGAGGAUCAUCUGAGUCCUAGCCACCCUGAGACUCCAUAGUGAAUUUUAUUCGCCUGGGCUACAGUGAGAACCUAUCUCCAAAAAAAAAGUCCAAACUAUCAUCUUUUAAUUCUUCACAAUCCCCUCUUUAAUAUGGCAUUUUGUUCUAUAUACACUGAUGAAAAUUUCAAGCAAACAAAAAGAACUUUAGUCAAACUCCCCUUCCUCCUCCAGCUUUAUUGGAAUAGUUUAAAAUUACAUCUUCUAUUUUCUAGGACUUCAGUUGCUUUUUCCAUCUGACUUUUAAAAACUGAUUACAGCAAAUGAAACACAGUUGUCUAAGUGAUAUAGUAUACAAAAAUAACAUCUUGAUUUCUGUGAAAAUGCAUUUCUCUGCAAUUCCUGAAUAGCUCCAAAUUAUGCUAACUCUGAGCAUGGAUGUUUCCUGUGGGUUUUAGAUUUCAUCUUUGAAAAUGUGUUCUACACCUUUGCCAUCUCCACCUGUGCGUCCAGCAUCAGCACUGCACGAACCUGCUCCUUUCAUCCCACUUCUCUGGCAUAGCCAUGCACACAUUUCUCUUUUCAUUUUGUUUACUCCCACUCAGCUGUAUGUUCUGAGGGCCUGAUACAGAUGUUACUCGAUGUUAUUUAAUAGCUACUGAGGUCAGACAAUCCAAGGCCAUCAUUAUGCUAAAAUUAAAGUUACACAUGGAAGUUCAUAGACACUUCCAAAAUUGGUUUUAUCUCCUACAUGGGAACACACUCAAGAAACCCAGAAGGGCUUACUGGUCUGACUCAACUCUUCCCAUUCAUUAAUCCCUAUUCACCAGUGGCACGGAAAGGGGGUUCUUUAACAAAGCAUUAUACAUAACACCUCUACCAAACUAAACAUAAACUUUUUUUGUAGUUAAA